GGCUAGCUAUCCAAACCACUUCUACAUCUGAGAUACAUAUAUUUGUUUAUUUUAUAUAAAAACCACCACAAAAAUAGAAUAAACAGUUCCGCAGAACAACAGUAAACUUCUAAUACUCAAAAAACACAUCAUUUAGCUUACAUAAUAGCUUACAUAUUUGAAAUAUGUAUUAGUAAUAUUGCAAAUUACAGAAGUGUCUUAUAAAGUAUUGAAUGUAUGGAAGAUUCUUUGGAGCUAAGGAUUUCGUGGCAGGUUGACCCAUGGAUAAGGUUGGUACAAAACACAUUAAUGAAAAAGAGGAAUAAGCACAAAUUGUGGGAGGUGAAGAUAUUUCUUUCUGGAGAGAGUGACAGGAAUAAAUAUCAUAGUUUAUCUGGGUUUUUUUUCGUUGUUUGAGAACUGCAUAUAAUGGAUUUUUCAAAUAAACUUAUUUGAGGGAUAUUUUUGUAAAGUUCAAUUUGUAUUGUAUAUAUUUGAACAAUUCACAGAUCAAAUUGUCUAUUUCAUAAAUUAUCUUUUUUAAAAAUCACACAAAUUGAGAGCUAGAUGUGACAAAUUAAUCUCUAAAUAAACUUAUUUGAGAGGUAUUUUGUAGAAUUCAAUUUGUAUUGUAUUUCAACAAUUUGAACCAUCUAUAUAUCAUAGAUGAUAUCUCUUUAAAAAAGCACCCCAAUUGAUUUUUUUUUUUAUAACCAUUCUGAUGUAGGACAAAUUAUGAGAGAGAGAGAGAGAGAGAGAGAGAGAGAGAGAGAGAGAGAGAGAGAGAGAGAGAGAGUUUAAAACACACGAUGGAGUAGUACUGAUAUUACAAGUAGGGAAUAAUUAGAAAGAUGUUGGAGUACAUACCAAAUAGACUUCAUUCACACACUAUACUAUAGUAUAGUAUUCAUACCAUAUAAUUAAUUAAGCCGCAGGCUUCCCUUAGUAAUAUAAUUAAACAGCUCUAUAUCUAAAGCGGUAGGAAGAUUAGCUUAUAACCAAAGGAUCAAUAGUAGCCAGGGUAUUGGUUCCAGUACAAAUACAUUCAUGAUCAUAUAAUUAACUAAUAAUAACGCGUAUUACGAUUGAUGACCGGGGUUGGCUUACUGGUGCGAGUAGAAUUCGUUCCAUAUAUUUCUGUGACACAUAUCCCACCAUAGAUUCGCACUGCUUCGUCAGGGCUGAUGACAGGCUUAUUGUAAUUAGGCCGUUGCAGCUUCUGUGGAGCUCCAUGAUUCUCCAUGUUGGCCGCCGCUGCUGCCGCCACUGCGCCUCCAUAUCGACGUUCUUGAUAAUCAUGAGAAGGUGUAGGAGAAGAGGAAACUUGAUUCCCCAUGUUAAUUACAACUUAAAACUGAUUACAAGUUUUGCUUUGAUUUGAAUUCCUUGGGGUCCAAGCCUCAUUAUAUAGUAGUCCCAUUACUCACACAAGCUUAUAAUAAUACUUCACCCUUAGGGGCCCGCAGAAUGUAUAUGAUGUUAUAUAGGACUUGCAUGCACAUUCUGCUUAAUUAAUUAGUUAUAAUUCUUGAGUAAAAUAAAUGAAAUUAAUAGUGCGCUUCUGGAUUUAGUAUAUAUGCUGUACAUGCUUUAUUCUUCUCAUACCAUUAAAAAAUAGAAAAAAGAGGAUUUGCAUGAGUCCGUAAUAAUUUGAUUCAGUACUCAACUGCUUUUUUGUUUUCCUGUAUCCUUCAUAAAAAAAUAAAAAGGGGAAAGAUUAGCUAGAUUGAUUCUUGUUUUCCUGUAUCCACAAUGUUGGCGUGACUUGUGGAUAUUGACUUACUUUCCUUACACACUAAGAAUUCCUAUUAUAAUUGUAAUUGAUUUACUUUAAUUCCUGAUUUCCUACUGCAAAUAGAUUUAGGAAUUUAUUAUUUACUUGCCCAUUCAGGUUUCGUUGUAUUAUAAAUAUGACCUCCUACAAGGAGAAGAAUACACAGAAAAUUCCCACAAACAAAUAUUCUCUCAUAGUUUUCAUAUUUUAGCAUGGUAUCAGAGCGGCGAUCUUGGAAUUGCUGACUCUAGUUUCAAACCCCCGCCGCUGCUAUGGGGGUUGAUGAUUUUUUCAACCCUCAUGGAGGUAGCACCACCGACUCCUUCUCUCAUUCUCCACCAACCAUCAUUGAGUUGAGUGCCCAGAUGGCUCCGCUCCUACAGAUGCAGACUUUGACCCUGAACCCGAUCCAGAAUUCGGAUCCUUUUUUGACGACCCCGACCCCGACCCUGACUAUGACGACGACGACCCCGACCCCGACCCCGACUAUGACGACGACGACCCCGACCCCGACCCCGACCCCGACUCCGAAGACGACCCCGACCCCCACUCCGAUGAUGACCCCAAACCCGAAUUUGUCUCUGAUUCAGACCCUGAUCCCAAUUUCGACUCCGACUCCGGCCCCGACUCAGGCUCAGAUUCCGAUCCCAAUUCCUACUCAACCUGUAUCCUAUGCAUCUUCCGCUGCACAAAUUAUGACUUCUAGACUAACGACCCCGACACGUGGACUAGAUUGCGCAUAUUGUGGUGAUCCACGACACACUUGUGAGACUUGUUUUAAAUCGCAUGGCUACCCCAAUUGGUGGGCUACUCUUAUAGAUCGAGGACAAUGCAAUAUGACCAGUAAUGGUACUGGUUAUGGAUUCCAUACUUCCAAUAAGAUUGAUUCCAGGAGCUGGAUAAUUGAUUCCGGUACAACUGAUCAUAUGACGUUUGAUCCUGAUGAUUUUCUGAAUACUACACAACCUCGACGAACCUGUAUUGCAAAUGCCAAUGGUGUUACUUAUCCUGUGACAGGGGCUGGCACUGUUGCACUCUCAUCCUCUCUCACACUGUCUAAUACUUUACUUGUUCCAUCUUUAUCCACUAAAUUAUUGUCAGUUAGUCAGCUUACUGAACAAUUGAAUUGUUGUGUACUCAUUUACCCGAGUUUUUGUUUGCUUCAGGAUAUUCACACUAAGGAGAUUCUUGGUCGUGGUACUAAGAGAGGGGGGCUAUAUUAUGUCGAUGACUUCAGUCCCGACAUGGCUAACAGCGUGACACAUCCCUUUGAUAGCAAACAAAAGCAAAUCUGGUUGUGGCACCGUCGAUUGGGACAUCCUUCUUUUAGUUAUAUGAAGCAUCUUAUACCAGAUUUAUUCUCAGGUUUCAAGGACUCUGACUUCACAUGUGAUACUUGUAUUUUGGCCAAGAGUCACCGUGUGCCCUACCCGUUGAGUACGAACAAGUGUACUACUCCAUUUACGUUAAUUCACUCUGAUGUCUGGGGACCUUCUCCUAUCACUGCUCCUUCUGGUGUUCGAUGGUUUGUCACAUUCAUCGAUGAUUGUACACGGAUGACAUGGCUUUAUUUGCUGAAGAAUAAAAACGAAGUGUUUUCCUGUUUUCAGUCCUUCCACAAACAGAUGAAAACUCAGUUUAAUGCUCAAAUCCAGAUUCUUCGCUCCGACAAUGGUGGAGAAUUUGUCAAUCAUGACUUUCAGACUUACUUCCAACAACAUGGAAUUAUCCACGAGACGACUUGUCCUCAGACACCACAACAAAAUGGUGUUGCUGAACGAAAGAAUCGACAUCUUCUUGAAACCGCCCGAGCACUUCUGAUUGGCGCUCAUGUUCCUCGCCAUCACUGGGAUGAUGCUAUUGUCACCGCAGUUCAUCUGAUCAACCGCAUGCCUUCUAGUGUACUGACCUUUAAAACUCCCUUACAGGUGCUUGCACAACACAGACCUCUGCCUUCUGUUUUGGUAUUCACACCCCGAAUCUUUGGAUGUGUGGCUUUCGUUCAUCUCCACAAAAAUCAACGUAGCAAACUUGAUCCAUGUGCGCUUCGUUGUGUUUUUGUGGGUUAUGCCACUCAUCAGAAAGGCUACCGUUGUUAUCACCCUCCUACCCAACGAACCUAUGUCACUUUGGAUGUGACCUUUCUGGAAUCUGAGCUGUUCUUCCAUGACCCAUCAUCCAAUUCUACACUUCAGGGGGAGAUACGAAGUGAAGAGCAGAAUUGGAGCAACUUGGAAAAUCAAGAAAUUCUCCUUUGUACAGAAAUGAUUGAUCCUUCCGAGUCUGGAGCACGAGAUUACUCUCUGUCGAAAAGCGACCAAUCGCCCAUUUAUAGCGAUCAAUUGCCUGACCCACCUGAUCCACGCGAAGAUAUUUCUGAUCCGAGUCUCACACUUACAGACAAUACAGAACAACAAGAUGAAGACCCCCCCUCUAACUCAACAGUACCAACAGACCAAUCUCUUGAGAAUAUCCUUGAGGUAACUACUCCUACUAGACUUGUGCAUUUAGAUGAUAAAACUAUUGGAUAUCAAUUACCUUUCAGGCAAAAUCGUGGGAAGCCACCAAACCGUUAUUCACCUGAUAUUGGCAAGACAUCCAAGUAUCCAAUUGCAAAUCAUGUAUCCACUGAGAAGCUGUCUGAACCACUUAAGGCUUUUGUGCAUCAGUUGUCUGCUAUCCAUAUUCCAACCAAGGUCUCUGAAGCAUUGAAAGAUCCUAAGUGGGUCCAAGCUAUAAAAGAGGAGAUGAAAGCCCUUGAGAAAAAUCAGACUUGGACAUUGGAGAUUAUACCCCGAGGAAAAAAGACUAUCGGAUGUAGAUGGGUGUUUACUAUAAAACACAAUGCAGAUGGAUCUAUCGAGCGAUACAAGGCAAGACUUGUGGCAAAAGGGUACACACAGACCUAUGGUAUAGACUAUGAAGAAACCUUUGCUCCCGUUGUAAAGUUAAACACCGUCAGAGUCUUAUUGUCCCUUGCAGCUAAUUUAGAUUGGCCACUACACCAGUUUGAUGUAAAGAAUGCUUUUCUACAUGGCGAACUCACGGAGGAGGUGUACAUGGACAUUCCUCCUGGAUAUAAUACUACUCAGACUGGAACAGUUUGCAGGUUACGAAAAGCAUUGUAUGGAUUGAAACAGUCACCACGUGCAUGGUUUGGACGGUUCACCAUGGCAAUGAAGAAUAAUGGUUUCAAACAGUGCAACUCAGAUCAUACUUUGUUCUUGAAACAUCGAAAAGGGAAGGUAACAGCAUUAAUAAUUUAUGUUGAUGAUAUGAUUAUUACUGGGAAUGAUAAACAGGAAAUAUCACAGCUACAAGACUAUCUGGCUACGGAGUUUGAGAUGAAGGAUCUAGGUGGACUCAAGUAUUUCUUGGGAAUUGAGGUGGCUCGAUCGCAGCAAGGCAUAUUUCUCUCUCAAAGGAAAUAUGUCUUAGACUUGUUGACAGACACAGGAAUGCUAGAUUGUAAACCUGCGGACACUCCUAUUAUUCAGAAUCAUCAUCUUGGAGAAUAUCCAGAUCAAGUUCCAACUAACAAAGAAAGAUACCAAAGGUUAGUGGGAAGAUUGAUCUAUUUGUCACAUACUUGACCAGACAUUGCUCAUGCGGUAAGCGUUGUCAGUCAAUUUAUGCACUCUCCAAGUGAACACCAUAUGAAUGCAGUUCUUCGGAUACUUAGAUAUUUGAAGUCUGCACCUGGAAAAGGACUUAUGUUCUCAAAGCAUGGUCAUCUAAAUAUUGAUGGUUAUUCAGAUGCAGAUUGGGCAGGUAAUGUAACAGAUAGAAAAUCCACAUCGGGUUACUUCACAUUCGUGGGAGGUAAUUUGGUGACAUGGAGAAGCAAGAAACAGAAUGUAGUAGCUUUAUCCAGUGCAGAAGCCGAGUUCAGAGGCAUGACUAAAGGGAUUUGUGAACUUCUUUGGUUAAGAAAGUUGCUUACUGAACUUGGGUAUAAACCUACAUCCACAAUGAAUCUCUUUUGUGAUAACAAGGCUGCUAUAGCCAUUGCACAGAAUCCGGUUCAACAUGAUCGUACUAAACAUGUUGAGGUGGAUCGAUACUUCAUCAAACAAAAGCUUGAGGCUAAAGUGUUUCAGUUUCCUUUUGUGAAAUCCGAGGAUCAAUUGGCGGAUAUUUUGACAAAGGCGAUUUCCAGUAAAGCAUUCCACAAUUCACUAGAUCAGUUGGGCAUUGGCGACAUCUAUGCACCAACGUGAGGGGGAGUGUUGGCGUGACUUGUGGAUAUUGACUUACUUUCCUUACACACUAAGAAUUCCUAUUAUAAUUGUAAUUGAUUUACUUUAAUUCCUGAUUUCCUACUGCAAAUAGAUUUAGGAAUUUAUUAUUUACUUGCCCAUUCAGGUUUCGUUGUAUUAUAAAUAUGACCUCCUACAAGGAGAAGAAUACACAGAAAAUUCCCACAAACAAAUAUUCUCUCAUAGUUUUCAUAUUUUAGCACACAAGUGCUUUUUUGUUAUUGCAGUUUGAUAUUUCCUUAUUUAUAACACCUUUCAUUAUAAAUUAGCUUUCUAUAUAUUUCUAGAGCUAUUAUUUGGUGAAUCAGAUCGAUUCACCUAUGUAACAUACAUAUAUAUGUGUGUGUUCAUGUUGACAAGUCUGCCAAAGAUGGAUUAAGAAUAGGAACAAUAUAAAUUAAAUUAAAUAAAUUAAAGGAGGCCUGUUAGCUUGGUAAUUGGAUUUUCUUAACAAUAUUAAAGUAUAUAAUAUAUAUGAAGGAAAGAUCGAUGCUUAGUUCCUGCAUGUAUGAUUAGUCAGCCAUAUGUUAAUAAUUGAGUCGGUCUCUAUCCAAUCUAACGCACAGAUAUACAGGUUAGGCAGAAAGGAUGGCAAUUAGUGAGUGAGAUCCUGGACCCAAGUGAAUCAGAUUCCACACCGAUUAGGUUUAUGAACUUUAACAGUUGAUAUGAAUCAUUUCCUAAUCCUUCAAUAUAAUAUAAUAUUUACAAUCGCAAUCGGGGCCUAUUCUAAUAAAAAAAAAGAGCCUUAACGUACAUACCAGUAGCAGUAGUCUUAAUUUGAACUCUCAUGAGUAUGUGUAAGUAUAUGAAUGCGACCGAUUCCACUUUUCCAAAAGAAAAAGAUACCAAAGUCGGCUAGUGUCCCACGACCUUGCGUCAAUAAUGCUUGGGUCCUUCCUCUUGAGUCCUAGCAUCAAUAAUAGGCUCCACAAAAUAGUCACUCGACUUUUGUCGGCUGGAGGACGAAACGACAAAAGCCGCCGAAUCGGCUGGGAACCCAUCACCUUUUCCGAGGAAGAGGAGAAGGGCAUCAUCUUUUCCCAUUCCUGUAACACCCCGACUCCAAAUUUAACCCUUAUUUAAAUUAUUUAAAUAUUUAAGGACAUUUUGGUCAUAAUUUUAACCAAAGAGAGUUUGGGGCAGUGACUAGUAUUUUUGGAUAGGUCGUACUGAGACGAGUUCAUAGACACGUAGUGGGCUCGAAUCAGAGUUGUGACGAGAAAGUUAUGGUCAAAAGAAACCCAGUGGCACAAUCGUAAUUAUUUCGAAAUGGGAUUUUUAUAAAAAAUCAGAUUUUUUUUUCUCUCUCUUCCUCCCGCGAGCUCUCUCUCUCUCUCUCUCUCCCGUCGGUCUCUCUCUCUCCUCGUAUCUCCGACCACCGGCCGCGGCUGCGGACGGGACCGGUGCCAAAAGGACCGGCUCGGCCUCGGCGUCACGACCCAGCCCUCCCCCGACAUCGGCCGCCGCUCCAGCCGCCGAAAAAUGGCAAUUUUCGCCCGGUUGUCGUCCGAACUUUGUCGGCUCCGAUCUCCCUCCUCUGGCCGCCAUUUCUGGCGAUCAAGGUAUGGAAAUUCAUCCCUUCUGCAUGCUCUAGCUGAUGGUUGGGUAGGAUUGGAUCGAUUCUUAGCUGAUGGUUGAGAACGCGAUUCCGGCCACUUUCGGUCAAUUUUUGGGGUAUGUCCAAGAACAAAAGUGGCUCCAAAUAGGGUGUUAUACCUAGGGUAGGAGUUUGGAGCCGUGGUUUUGAGAUUCGCUUUGGGCACCCAUCCGCUGCCGGCGCGUGCGGCGGCGCGUGGGCACUGUAGAAAAAGUGGCACUGUGUCUCGAUGAGAUCCUUAGGUUGUCACGAGUGCGUAGGAUUUUGCGGAUCUCAAUUCGGACGUCGUUUGACUAUCGAACGGACGAUCGCAUAUUGUGCGUUAUCUGGGUUCGAUAGGUUGGGACCGUUGGAUGGUCCCGAAUUUAAUAUAUGUUAAUCUAGGUAACGUUAAGAUCGUGUAGGAAUUCACGGAUUGUGAAUCGGAGCCCCGGAUGUUCCGAAUAAUAAUUUAAAGUUUAUAUUUUAUAUUAACCGUCAGAUCGUGCGAUCAUGAGUGAUCCGACCGUCCAAGCUGAACCAAACUUGCAGGACAAGUGUCCUGUACCUUGUAAAACCCAUGGGUACUUUCGGAUCGGAAAUUGGAGGUCGUGGGCUUCGCAGGUCUGUUUGACCAGGGUUAGGGUAGUUUGACCCUUAGUUGACCAUGAGUCUCCCGGAGAAAUCUCAUCUGCUAGACUAUGGUGGAAGGUUAUACGAUAUUAGAAUUAGUAUAUAUAAUUAUAAUUAUAUAUGUUUGUACAAGGGUACAAAAGAGUCUAGAAUGUCAGUUUGGAGUGCUAUACGCACUACCUUAGGUACCUCCCCGGAUUUUGGUCUCACUAUAAGUACCACCAAGUGAAAGUUAGGUCUCACGUGGCGUAGGUUAUCCGGCGUGCGGACAGGCCCUAUACGUGGCGUUGGUUGUACCGGCGUAUGGGGAGAUUUGUGAUAUGAUAUUUAGGUCUCACGUGGCGUAGGUUAUCCGGCGUUGAGACAGGCCCCAUACGUGGCGUUGGUUGUACCGGCGUAUUGGGAGAUUAUGUGAUAUUGUGUUGAGGUCGCACGUGGCGUAGGUUAUCCGGCGUGUCGACAGACCCCAUACAUGGCGUUGGUUGUACCGGCAUAUGGAGAGAUAUGUGAUAUGAUGUGCAGGUCUCGCGUGGCGUAGGUUAUUCGGCGUUGAGACAAACCCCAUACGUGGCGUUGGUUGUACCAGCAUAUGGGGAGAUAUUAUGAUAGUAUGGCAUGGUCGCACGUGGCGUAAGUUAUCCGGCGUGUUGACAGACCCUAUACGUGGCGUUGGUUGUACCGGCGUAUGAGGAGAUUAUGUGAAAUACAGAGAAAUGAAAUAAGGUAUCGCCUAAGUGUGGAAUUGGGUUUUAUGGAAGAACUACGUGUAGCUUGAUCCCUCAAGGAGGGUACGUCGGCAGCCUAAGGUUAUAAGGUGCAGCCGCAGACUAAAUGUUAGUCAUAAUUUAUAUUUGAAUUGUUUGGUUAGCGGGUUUGGCAGUUGGUUGAGAAUUAUUGGAAGGCCGAAGGCCAUUUAUGUGGAUUGCAUGAAAUUAUAUUGUGCAUGCUGCCAGUUGUGAAUAUUAAAUGCGUUUUUAUGCAGGUUGAAGUUUUUGGGAAAUAUCCAAUUUAUAGGGGAGACUCUGCCGAAAUUUCGGCAGGAAGUCUCGAUCUUUAGUAAGUGGGCCUGGCAUCGGGGUGAUGUCAGGAAUUCUAAAGGGUUCGCCUCGGGUUUCGAAAAAUUCGGGACGGGUCCUUUCAAUUCCGACCCUAUGAUCAUCCGAGCCGACAUUAUAGACUUUGACUUAGGCCGAAUCCUCAUCGACACAGGCAGCUCGGUCAACGUACUCUUCGUCGACGCAUUCAACGCCUUCGGCAUAGAACCACGAAACCUCAACACGGAGAUCACCCCCAUUCUGAGCUACUCGGGUGAUGUUGUCGAACCCAUUAGAAGCAUCCAACUCUCGUUCGCCGUCGGCACCGCCCCCAGAUGAAUGGUUAUCUACACCCAUUUUCUAGUGGUCGAUUGCCCAACGACAUACAACACCAUCAUCGACCGACCAGCGCUUGCGAGAAUGAGGGCCAUGCUCUCUCCACACAUGCUUCUCCUCAAGUUCCCCAUGAAUGUUGGUGUCGGCCAGGUUCGAGGGCACCAAUUGAGUGCACGGACGUGUUAUGUUUCGGCCACUAAGAAAUUGGCCAGAGCAACACCUCGCGAAUCUUACUAUGUUUCCACCCCAACUGUACCUAACGGAAGAGGAGCAGAUCAACCUGACGACCCCAGAGAUGAGGCCAUCACACCGCAGGCUCAGCCUAUUGAGGACAUGGAAACGAUGUCCCUAUCCGAAGCAUAGGCAGAUCGGCAAGUCAAGAUCGGCACUACCCUUAGUUCACCAUUGCACACCAAGUUCAUCACUUUCCUCUGCGCAAAUCUAGGGGUCUUUGCCUGGUCCUACGAUGAUAUGCCCGGCAUCUCUCCCGAUAUUGUCAACCAUCAGCUCAGCAUCAGCCCUAAUUUUAAAUCGAUCCGGCAGAAACGGCGAGCCUUCGAUGCUGAACGGUACGUAGCAAUGCGGCUUGAAGUGGAGAAACUGCGGGCGAUCAGCUUCGUUUGGGAGGUUGUCUACCCAAUUUGGCUUGCCAAUUCGGUCAUGGUUAAAAAAUCGAAUGGUGCGUGGCGAAUGUGCCAAGAUUAUACCCAUCUGAACAAAGCAUGCCCUAAGGACAGUUUCCUUUUGCCAAGGAUCGACCAGCUCGUGGAUGCCAUGGCAGGUCAUGAGCUUUUGAGCUUCAUGAACUCCUAUUUCGGCUACAACCAGAUUUUUAUGAACCCUACUGACCGCGAAAACACAACAUUCAUCACAGACAAAGGGCUCUACUGUUAUGAUGUCAUGCCGUUCGGCCUAAAAAAUGCUGGAGCAACCUAUCAACGUUUAGUCAACAAGAUUUUUGCCGAACUUAUAAGCACUUGCAUGGAAGUCUACGUAGACGACAUGCUAGUCAAAAGCAGGACCGCCGAUCGGCAUCUUCACAAUAUCUCCCUCAUUUUCGACGUCCUCAAAAAAUACAAAAUGCACCUCAACCCAACCAAAUGCGCCUUCGGCGUUUCCUCUGGCAAAUUCCUAGGCUUUAUGAUCAGCCAACGGGGCAUCGAAGCUAACCCUGAGAAAAUCCAAGCAUUACUAGAUAUGUAGGUACCGAAGACGAAGAAGGAUGUUCAAAGCCUCACAGGCCAAGUCGCCGCCUUGGCCUGCUUCAUAUCCAAAGCCACCGCCUGAUGCGCCCCAUUCUUCAAAGCUCUCAAAAGGAGUAAAUGGCAGGUCGUUUGGACUUCGGAAUGUGACCGAGCAUUCGAGGACCUUAAGGCUUAUAUGAGUAGAGCCCCUCUGCUGUCCACACCUUUUCCAGGAGAAAACCUCAUCAUCUACCUCUCAGUAUCGGCAACGACAUUAAAUUCCGUACUCAUUCGUAUACCGAACGGCAUAGAGCUCCCCAUCUUCUAUACAAGUCAUGCGCUGCAGGAUGCGGAGCAACGGUACCCCUAACUUGAAAAACUGGCCUACGCUCUAGUUCUCUCUGUGCGCAAGCUUCGACCCUACUUCCAGGCUCACACGAUCGAAGUAUUGACCAAUCAGCCCCUACGCCAAAUUAUACAGAAGCUAGAAACAUUAGGACGACUGAUCAAAUGGACCAUCGAACUUGGUGAAUUUGACAUUCACUACCACCCCGACCUGCUGAAAAGGGGCAGGCCGUAGUCGAUUUUAUCUCAGAACUGACUAUUCCAUCAGAAGGCGAACGACUGGCCGACUCCAACCCCGAACCGGCCAUCACGACCUCGGAAUGACAUCCUGCCAAAAGGGUGUUCGACUCCGCGAUUCCUUAGUGGACCCUAUAUGUGGACGGUUCUUUCAACCGACAGGGCAGUGGCGCAGGCCUAGUCCUGAAGGCACAAGACCAAACCACAAUCGAGUACAUCACCUGAUUCCAGUUCGGAUCCUCAAACAAUGAAGCAGAAUGCGAAGCCCUCUUGGUAGGCCUUCGGCUUGCAAAGGACAUGAGAGCUAAACAACUAACAAUCUGUAGCGAUUCCCAACUGGUCGUCAACUAGGUCAUCACCGAAUUUGAGGCGAAGGACGAAUCCAUGGCGGCCUACUUAGCCCAGGCCUGCCGAUUGCUCAAACAAUUUAGCACAUACCACAUCCAGCAGAUCCUCAGAUCCAAAAACAGUUAUGCUGACACUCUCUCUCGACUUGCAUCUGCAAUUGACGACUGGGUCGGAUGCCACGUACAAAUUGAAAUCCUCGCUCACAGGAGCGCUACCAAAGUUGAGGUUCAUGCCGUUUGGCAGGACCCAAGUUGGAUGGACUCAAUCCACGCAUACCUAACUGACGGCACGCUUCCAACUGACAGCGAUGAGGCCAAGGCAGUCCGCCGCCUAUCGGCAUGGUAUCUCAUUCUGCAGAAGACACUGUACCGACGCGGUCAUUCUCUAUCGUUGCUCUGCUGCGUCACUCCGCAACAGAAGGACUAUGUUCUGCGAGAAAUUCAUGAGGGUGCCUGUGGCGAUCAUUCGGGAGCCCGAUCCUUGGCGUUCAAAACCAUUCGGCAAAGCUAUUAUUGGCCAACCCUUCACUCUGAUGCCGUCAAACUCGUACAGCAGUGAGGCCCGUGCCAACGCUUAGGCUCAAUCCUAAAGCAGCCUGCCGAACCUCUCACCCUGAUUGUCAGUCCUUGGCUGUUCGCGCAGUGGGGAUUGGACCUCAUCGCCCCUAUGUCGCAAAGUAAGGGACAUCUCAAAUUUACGAUCAUCGUAGUGGACUACUUUACAAAGUGGGUCGAGGCCGAAGCCCUUGCCACGAUCACUGUCGCCAAAAUCGAGCACUUCGUAUGGAAAAACAUCAUCUACCGAUUCGGCCUCCUGAACGCAAUCAUCACCGACAACGGUAAACAAUUCGAUUGCUCUCGCUUUCGGCAUCUAUGCUCCCGAUUCAAUAUCAACAUCUUCUUCACAUCUCCGGCACAUCCAUAGUCCAAUGGACAGGUGGAGGCCAUCAACGAGAUCAUCAAGAAGACACUGAAGAAGAAACUCGGGGCUGUUAAAGGCGAAUGACCCGAAAUACUACCAGAGCCACUGUGGGCCAUCAACACAUGAAACCGAAGGUCAACAGGCGAAACCCCUUUUUCCCUCGAUUUUGGAACCGAAGGUGUGGUAUUGAUUGAAAUCAACGCCCCAACAUGCCGAACGGCAUCCUACGAUCCAGAUCAAAAUCAAGCCCAGCUCGCUCUAAACUUGGACCUCAUCGAAGAACACCAAUCGCAGGCUCAGCUUCGGAAUGCCGCAUAUAAGCAAUGAACCACCACAUAUUACGACUCGCGCGUCAUAUGCCGAUCGUUCAGGGUAGGGGACUGGGUUUUAUGCAAAAUCUCUCUCGCAACGAGAAGCCCUGCCAAUGGCAUCCUAGCCCCUUCUUGGGAAGGUCCUUACGAGGUCACCGAGGUCUGCUGAUCGGGCACUUACCGAUUGUGUGGGUCCGACUGUUAGACCCUCGGUCAUCCUUGGAAUAUUUAUCUUUAGCAUUAUUGUCUAUUUACCUAUUCUAUGCAACCAGUUAUGCCUUCAAACCACACGAUAGUAUCAAACAUAUACUACCUACGGCAUGCACACAUAUAUUAAAAGACAGAAGAACAAAAAGCUAAUUCAAAAUGUACUUGGAUAGCAAACAAAAGAAGCCACAAGAUGGGCCAUUGUUUUACAAAAUCGCCGAACGACAUGAUCUUAAAAAUAUACAAAAAUAAGCUACAACUACUAAGUUGGGGGAUUGGCACCAUGAGGCGACGGUGUGGGCACGGCUUCGUCCUCCUCACUACUCGAAUCAGUCUCACUUGACGAAUCGGCAUCGGUAUCCUCACCCUUGUAGGACUCCACCAUUUCUUUUGUGAUCCCUUCGGGCAACGGAGGAGGAUUACGGAGAAAGUUCAGGUUCAGCUUCUUAUCAGCAUUGUAGCGCUUGAACCGGUAGACAAGGUCGUCACACUGGUCCAUGACUUUCUUAUCUAGCAGUACCGUGAACUCUUCCGAUGAACGGUAGUCAGCUACGGCUUUUUCCUUCUCCUCCUGUACUUCCGUGGCAUGCUACCAUUCGACUGACUCCAUAGCCACUUCCACUGCCGCCUUGGCCUCCUGUGCCUCGACCAUCGCCUUCUCGGCCAUGGCUAACCUUCAUGACAGCUUUGCAAUCUUUGCCGCAUUCUCUUCGGUAAGCCGAUCGGCAUCCUAAAUGGCUUUACCAGCAUCGGCGAUUUUCGCUCGGCUGUCUUCGAAUCUUUCCCGAUACCAAUCGGCAGCAUUCAAGGCCCGCUUCAUGCAGAGCCAUAUUUCCAUAUUUGCCCACCAAAACAGUACAUCUGUCACUACCGAUCUCGUAUACACUUUAAAUGAUUACAAAUUCAAUCAUGCACUUACCGCAGCCUGAAGUUAGAAGGCUCGGCCGGCCUGUUCGCGUAUCGUCUUCAUCGGCAGUUGCUCAAGCUCUGUCAUCUCCAUCUGCGCACCGGCAAUGACCGUGUUCACGAAUGGCACGACCUUCCGAGGAGGAAGUUCAGGUUCAGCUUCUUAUCAGCAUUGUAGCGCUUGAACCUGUAGACAAGUUCGUCACACUGGUCCAUGACUUCCUUAUCUAGCAGUACCAUGAACUCCUACGACGAACGACAGUCAGCCACAACUUUUUCCUUCGCCUCCCGUACUUCCAUGGCACACGACCGUUUGGUUGACUCCAUAGCCACUUCCAUUGCCGCCUUGGCCUCCUACGCCUCGACCAUCGCCUUCUCUGCCAUGGCUAACCUCGAUGACAGCUCUGCAAUAUUUACUGCAUUCUCUUCGGCAAGCCGAUCGGCAUCCUAAAUGGCUUUACCAGCAUCGGCGAUUUUCUCUUGGCUGUCUUCGAAUCUUUCCCGAUACCGAUCGGCAGCAUUCAGGGCUCGCUUCAUGCAGAGCCACAUUUCCAUAUCCGUCUGCCAAAAUUAUACAUCUGUCACUACCGAUCUCAUAUACACUUUAAACUAUUACAAAUUCAAUCAUGCACUUACCGCAGCCUGAAGUCGGAAGGCUCAGUCGACCUGUUCAUGUAUCAUCUUCGCGGGCAGUUGUUCAAGCUCUGUCAUCUCCAUCUGCACACCGGCGAUAACCGUGUUCACGUACGGCAUGACCUUCCGAGGGCAUGCCACGUUUACCAGCCAAGCGUCCUCCUCCGCCUCAUCCCAGGGAAUUAGAAUGACAGCCUCCUCGUUCGGCCCCCGAAGCCGCUUUAGAAGAAGUGUCACGUCGAUGGCACCUUCGAUCACCCUCUUGGCCUUGGCCACCCGCUUCUCCCGCCAACAAUCGGCCGCCGUCGCCUCUAGAGCCGAAGCCCUUUUAGCUUGAGACGGUGGCUUUGUCUUCGACCUCUGUGGGCUAUCUUUCUUCUUUGGUGGCGCCCGAGACUCCAACCGCCUCCUUGUCGCAUCAGUCAUUGCUCUACCCCCCCCCCCCCCCGCGGCUACUGCAAAGAUUAAAUAGAGUCAGCAAACGAUCGGCAUGCAGAGAUAGAAAUAGUACAAGACGUGCCGAAUAGCAUCACUUACUUUUCCUCCUCUUUCCUUCAGACGUACUCAAGCUCGCUGAUCAGACCCGCCUAGAACAGAUUCUUGUAGUCCAGCAGAGUCUUGAAGAAACAAUCUUCUUCAGCAAUUUUCGACCAAACGCGCUCGAUGAUUUCCACCUCUCUCUUUGUUGCGAUCGGCCAUUUCAAGGACACUGUAAUACGAAAAAUACAUAACCCAGGUUAGUUUCGACAGGUCCCCAAAAAAAAAAAAACUACUAAUCUGCCGAACGGCAUCCUCACGCUGUAAAGGUGGGCGAAUUGCUCGUAGCUUGGGUCUCUCUCGCCAGCUAUGCUGAACGCCGUGAUCGUCCCAAGCAGCGUAAUCCAAAAAUUCGGAUUAAACUGCCCAGGGGCGUAGCCGAUAUGGGCAAGGAUUUUCUCCUUCGAAUGUCUCAACGGUAGCCGAAACCGGUGUUUGAAGGCAUUGGUGAAGAAGACUGCUUCACCAUCUGGAUUGCUCAGAGACUCCAACGGCCCUAGAAUCCGCAUCACUACUGAAUCCUGUAUGUUAUACAGAGCCCGAAUCUUGGCCAGCUCAGCCGCGGUCAUAACAUUCGGCUCCAAAACAUCCACACCAAAGACGAGGCCCUUUAGCUUCGCCAUCGGCACCCUCUGCUGGCCAGUAACCAUGGUCAGCACACCUUCUCCCGGAAUGGUAACCGACACACCAGCCUUGGUCUCCUCUGCUUGGCGACCGGAUGUCGAUGGUUGAGAGCUAUUCACCUCAACCACCUUCAUACUUGAAGUGCUCCCGGAUUCAGUAGCCACCUCUGUACCCCCUACUACACCAAAAUCGGCACUCUCAAGCCCUACGGUCAAGCUCUUAGAAACCGAUUCUCCCUCAAAGCUCUUGGGCUAUCACUAUAGUCUGAUUCGAUAUCUGACAUCUACAAACACAAGCAAAACGAAACUAAACGCCAUGCUAUAAUUAAACCACUACCCUAAAGCCCAGGAGCUCAUGUUCAUCUACAUUUCCCUAUGUUCAUACAUGUUCUUACAUGUUCAUACAACAAUUAAAGCUUUGAUUCAAGUCAGAAGAAAACAUGGCAACAUACCUUGUUUUGCACGGUGGUUGAAGGUCGCUGGAAAUCGCCUCCGCCUUGAAAAGUUUGCCAAAAAUCGCCUCUUCUGCUGCAGUACACUCGCCGGAAAUCGCCUCUCACAAGCUCAAUUUGCUCUCAAAAUGCCAAGUACCCCUCUUUCCCUCUCUUCGGCCUAUUUAUAGGACGAACCUAGCAUUGGGAAACGAAACGACGCGACCUUCGCAACCCUACCGACUCGUGUCAUACAUGGACAGAGAAGCCCAGGCGUCGUCGCUUCCCACUUGCGCAAGCGUUUCAAAUUCUCUCAGACUUUCUUUUCGAAACACAACUUCCCCAACGAACGGCAGGCGCGCAGUGGUCAAGUUUUCACUUACCUCUUGUGCCGAACAACGGCGCGCUGUGGUCGAGUUUUCACUCACCUCUAGUGCUGAACGGCAAGCGCGCAGUGGUCGAGGUUUCACUGACCUCUAGUGCUGAACGGUAGGCGCGCAGUGGUCAAGGUUUCACUCACCUCUCCUGCCGAACGGCAGACGCAUGAUGAUCGAGCUUUCAUCAAGCUUUCAGACGCCUUUGGCUCUUGCUGCCUUUCCCUUCCAAUCUUCGACAAACCCCUUGGCUCGAGGACUUGGGGGGACUACAUGACUACCAUCGGCAUACGACGAAAGACGCUUGUACCCAGGUCAGAAUGCCGGAGCUCAGGGACACAAGCAAGUCCCCAACCAAGAAGUCCCUCCUCGAUCGGAAACUUGGGGGACUCCUGUCUGUACCAUAUCUGACCCCCCACUCACGUCUUGACAUGUGGAAAUGUAAACCAGGCCCAAACCAGCUCAGUGAGCCAUGCCGAAAGGUCGAUCGGCAUACUCCGCCGAAUCACACGUGGUCGAAUCAGUAAAGUGCUUUCAACUAACACCCCACCAGACCUUCGGCACACGAUGCCGAGCGACCAGUCAGCACAAAGAAAUUUUAGCGCAAUAAAUUCCAUUGGAUGAGAAAUUAAUUACGGUUCGAUGGAUUGAAUUGUGGGCCUUAUAAUUCACACAUGUGGCGUAUGACUCAUCAAAAUUGGGUUAGCUGUCAAAAGUGACACAUGUCAACAUCCGACGGAGUGCAUCAAACGGUUCAAGAUAAAGACAAAAUUAAGGAAAAGAAUCUUGUAUGAUUGACUUUGAUUUAAAUCAAAUAUUAAUCAGGUCAAUUGAAGAUAAUUUGGUUAAAUUGCCAGAUUAUUGGAAUUGAUUUAAAUCAAAUCAAAAUCCCACAAAACAAAGUUUUAAAUAGGAAUAGUUAUUUAGGCCAAGCAUCCUGCAAGAGCUUAUAAAUAGGAGGCCUCAAGAAGAAAGAAGGGGCUCAGAAAAAACCUAGCGUUGAGAAGAAACAGAAAACUAUCUGCAUUCUUCACCCUACUUUGGAAGAGCCACCAAGCACAACAAAUACGUGCUGGUUCCUUCACUCUAGAAAAAUCACAAACACCAAACAAGCUUCAUGCUACCCGUUUGAUCAAGAUCAAGUCUCUACGACCCUUGUAUCAAACACAAAUUUUCUUUAAACACUUUGGAGAUCGAAUCAGAGGAUUCAAUACAGAGAUUGUAAUUCUAAAUUUCAUAAAUACAAAUAUUAUUUUGUACACAUGUUCUUAUCUCAUUUGUCGUAGGAAAUUUGUGUUUACACUCUCUUAUAUCUAUCCCCCCAAAUAUCAGGGCUGCGUCCUUGCUAUUAAGAAUAGCUUGAUCAUUCCUAAGAGGAGUUUGGUGUCUCCCUGCACGAGCUGGUUGGUCUUGAUAAAAUGGAGGCUUCUUGCCGGGCUGGCCAUAGAACUUGUCUAGCAUGGCAAAAGCCUCCCCUCCAAGCUUUCCUAGCUCUUCCUGAGUUGCCAUAAUAGUAAUAUUGCUACAAUUUAGUACAAGCACACAAACAAACAGAUGCACAAAGCAGGUCAGGCAAUUUGGUUUGCCUUUGUUUUCUGAGUAAAAUGGUUCGCGGCCAAGCCCCAUUAUAUAGGAGUUAAAAAGGCCACCUUACUGUGAGACCUUGUGGAUAAGUUGGUUGGAUAACAUAGAUAUCCAUUCUUCCCAAAAGGGAUUCCCACUUUUGGUGAUUCCUUCAGAGACACUAUUGAGUCUUUGAGUUGGGGGCUUUGCUUACGUUAGAAAUAUGUAUUAGUAAUGUUGCAAAUUACAGAAGUGCCUUAAAAAGUAUUAUGAUCAAUCAAGUAGUACUGAAAUGAAGCUGUUUGUAGGGAGUCGAUUUUUCAGUUUUUGGGUAAUGUUUUUUUUGUUAGUUGCUCAGUUCUUGUGAUAUUAAUUUCACAUCAGACUUCACAUCAAUAUUUUGAUCUAUUGUUUAAAUCUCCACCUUGCAUCCUUACUAUUUUAGUCGUUGAUAUCUAUUGUCAAUGGUAUUGCAAAACUUUUUGGUUUAGGUUUUUGGUGCAUGGGUUUGAACUUUUUGAUUUGGAAAUGGUAUUGCAAAACUACAUUGUACAGGUUCUGCAUUGUAGUUUUACACAUACUACAUUGCAGUUUUGGAAACUGCAUUUCAGUUUUUAUUUAAUUACAAUUUGAUUUUUGUUCUUGCAUUGGCCUUCAACCUCACCAAUUUGAAGAGUAGAGGCUAUCCAGAUGAGGAAUUAAGUGGGCAAGAGAAGAGUAGAACUACCCAAGAGCAAGGGAACUCAAAAUUGGACUUUUGGAAACUAGAAACUGCAGUGAAGUUUUCAUUUAAUUACAAUUUAAUUUUUGUUCCUUCCUUAGCCUUCAACCUCACCAAUUUGAAGAGUAUAGGCUACCUAGAUGAGGAAUUUGGUGGGCAAGAGAAAAGUAGAACUACCCAAGAGCAAGGAAACUCAAAAUUGGACUUUUGGAAACUGGAAACUCAUUGCAGUUUUCAUUUAAUUACAAUUGUUUUUGUAGCUAUUUUUGUUUUUUUUUUUUCACAUAAUUGAUACCUACAUUGUAUUUUUGUUGCAAUUUCUGUUUUUAUUUGCAGUUUUUGUGUGAAUAAGUGUUGAAAUGAUUUUUUUUUUUUAUAAAAAAAAAAAAAUCAUUGAUUGUUUAUAUAAAUAUUGUAUAACUGAAUUAAUAUUACAAAAUCAAGUUUGGUGUAGUGGUUUGUGAGUGAGCCUUCCUCCUUUGAGGGUCAAGGUUCGAGUCCAUUCAAUGACACAAAAUCUUUUUUUUAAAGGUGAAUAAAGGGCAACGGAGUUGGUCCCCUGCAGAUGGUGACAGGUCGGCGACAGGCGGUGGUGGUGGUUAGCUAGAUAUGGACAUGUGGCAUAGUAUGCUUACCUUAGAAGGAGUGGCAUUGUGUGUAAUUUUGAUAUUUUUGUAAAAUUAGGUACUACAUUUAGUCUUUGGCCUUAUGCUAAUUAAAUGAAAUUAUAUCUUAUCUUCUAAAUUAGUAAAUUACAUUGUGUUUUAAAACUAAAGCUCUCUUUUAUCUUCUUUGUUAUUUUCUUACAUAAAUAAAAUCUCUUUGAUAUUGCAAAGAAGUUGUUUUCUUCUCCUUUUUUUUUUCUUUUUUUUUUCUUUUUUUAAUAAUAAUAACUUUCCGUGAAAAGUGAUUACAUAACAAACAAGAGAGAGUAUGCAGGUGCGGCUAGCAUUAAAUAUAUUUUAUAUAGCAUAAGAAGUGAUUUCUACAUAUAAUUAUAAACGGAAUAUAUAAAGCCUAGGCUAGUUAUCCAAACCACGUCUACAUCUGAUAUACAUAUAUAUCAUAUUACAGAGAGCUUCAUUAGUUAACUAAUUACUUAUACCAAACAAAGUUGGUAUAUGUUAAUUAGCGGCGAAUCUUGGGGUACUCUCUUAUCUCUAUCCCCCCAAAUAGCAGGGCUGCGUCCUUGCUAUUAAGAACAGCCUGAUCAUUCCUAAGAGGAGUUGGGUGUCUCCCUGCACGAGCUGGUUGGUCUUGAGAAAAUGGAGGCCUCUUGCCGGGCCGGCCAUAGAACUUGUCUAGCAUGGCAAAAGCCUCCCCUGCAAGCUUUGCUAGCUCUUCCUGAGUUGCCAUAAUAGUAAUAUUGCUACAAUUUAGUACAAGCACACAAACAAACAGAUGCACAAAGCAGGUCAGGUAAUUUGGUUUGCCUUUGUUUUCUUGGUAAAAUGGUUCGCGGCCAAGCCCCAUUAUAUAGGAGUUAAAAAGGCCACCUUAUUGUGAGACCUUGUGGAUAAGUUGGUUGGAUAACAUAGAUAUCCAUUCUUCCCAAAAGGGAUUCCCACUUUUGGUGAUUCCUUCAGAGACACUUUUGAAUCUUUGACUUGGGGGCUUUGCUUACGUUAGAAAUAUGUAUUAGCAAUGUUGCAAAUUACAGAAGUGCCUUAAAAAGUGUUAUGAUCAAUAACACUAUUGAACGUAUGUAUGGAAGAUUGUUUGGUGCUAAGAAUUUCGUGGCAGGUUGACCCAUGGAUAUGGUUCGUACAAAACACAUUAAUGAAAAAUAGGAAUACGCACAAAUUGUGGGAGGUGAAGAUAUUUCUUCCUGGAGAGAUUGAUAGGAAUCAAUAUCAUAGUUUAUCUGGUUUCUUUUCGUUGCUUGAGAGCUGCAUAUGCUGAAUUUUUCAAAUAAACUUAUUUGAGGGCUGCAUAUGAUGGAUCUUUCAACAAUAAACAGUAUAUUUAAUAUAUUAGAGUGCUACGUACUAAACGGACCCUAAAAUUUAAGGAGGAAGUGAGAAAGUCCACCUCUAACCAUGCUCCUUAGAGCAUCCACAAUCAUGCUCUCUAUUUUUUAGUUAAACUUUAGCUAAAAACAUAUAAAAGUUAUUUUAAGAGGUCUCUAUAAAAUUUAAACUCCAAUCAUGCUCUCUACUUUAGGGAGUCAUAAAUGCUAUAACUCUUUUUUAAUUGGUCCAUCUCUAUUAAAAAAUAAUAUAAACAUAAUAAACAUUAAUUAAAGGUUUGAAAAACUCAUUAAAUAAAGCAACAUUAAAUUAUAGGGAGCCACUAGGAGUUCUUUCUCUCUCCUCAGAUUUAUGAGCUCUUAGAAGUCUCCCUAUUUUAGGAGGUGGAUAGGGAGCAUGGUUAGAGUUGUAUUUUUCCAAAUCCUCCCUAAAAUUUGUCUAAGGAGAUGGUUUAGGGAGCCCAUUGUGGAUGCUCUUAUCCAACUCCUAAAAUAGGGAGACUUCUAAGAGCUCUUAAAUCUAAGGAGAGAGAAAGGACACCUAGUGACUCCCUAUAAUUAAAUACUAGUUUACUUUAAUGCUAUUUUAAGUAUUUACUUUAAUGCUAAUUAUUGUUUGCGUAACAAAAUUAUUCUGGCCUAUCUCAGGGUAGGCAAGGCCUGUGCUUCAUAUCUUCUUGGUAGGAAAUGAUAUUCUUGAUCAUACACACACACACAUAUAUAUAUAUAUAUAUAUAGGAAGUUUCAAUUGAGGGAUAUCUUUGUCGGGCUCACUCUGUAUUGCAUUUUACUAAUCCAAACCAUCUAUUUUGUAGAUACUCAUUCAAAGAUCAUCUCUACAAAAAAUCACUUGAAUCUAAUAUUAUUUUACCACUCAAUUAAAUUAUUGAAAUUACAAUUGGAUAUCAAAACGGUUUUUGAUUUAUCUAAUAUUUUGCAAAGAUGAUCUAUGAAUGUAGACUUAAAAAAUAGAUGGUUUGAAUCGUUGAAAAAAGAUUCGUAAGAAACUCUAAAAGGUGUCCCUCAAAUAAAAGUAUUUGAAGAAUCCCUCAACAUAUAUAAAGUAUGUGUGAUUUCAAUUUUUCAACAGAAAAAGAUACCAAUUAAAGUCGGCCAGUGUCCCACAAUCCCCAGCCACAACACAACCUUGCCUUCAACAAUGCAUGGGUCCUUAGUUGCGAUAAGAUAUUUGAAGAAGCUUAGGGAAUAAAAUGCCUUAAGAGACUGUUUAGGGGUGGUAGAAAUCCACCUAACUCGGGCACGAGAAGAAUAACGGCCGGGGUUUGGAGGCCAGGAUUGGAGAAGUUAGCGACCGGAAAUGUCGGGGUUCCUGCGGCCAAAAUGUUGGAGAAUUUGGGAGAUCUCGGCCGGGUCUUGAAGGAGUCUCGUGGCGGCCGAGAUUUGGAGCAGCCAGUGUCUUGGGCCGAAUAUGUGGCUGGAGUACUUGGAGGGCUACGGGGCAGGCCUGAGCCCGAGUUUUUCUAAUUGAGGCCGGGUCUUUGGCUUUGAGCAGACAAGGCUUCGGAGAAUGCGGCUGGGGUAUUUAGUCUCUUUACAAACUGGGCUGAAAGGGUUUUGGUUUGGAGUAGACAAAGCUUUGGAGAACGGCGGUUGGAGCUUUGUGGAUUUGUUAACAGCUGAAGGGUUUUCUAGGUUGGAAGUUUAAUUGUCUUAUUCGAUAUACUAGUCUCUCAUCACGCGCUUCCGCGCUUGCAAGAGGCUUUUUUUUUUAAAAAAAAAAUUAUUUUAGAAUUAAAAAAGAUAAUGGGUAGUUGUGUUCCAUAAAAAUAGGAUCCAUUAUCUGCUUUUUCUUUUUCUUUUAAUUUUUUUAAAUAUGAAAAAGUGUGAAUUUACCAUAUUAUCCUCAUUUAAUUAAUAAUUUGAAUUCAUAAUGUUUGCAUUAACCAAGGGCAUUUUCUGGUAUUUUGAAUGUUUCACCAUUUUCUGCCUUUUGCUUUAUAUAUAGAUACAUACAUAUUUUCAAAUAAGUGGGGCUGGAACUUCAAGAUAAUUGCGCCCGAGGCUUUAUUGAACCUCCUUUGUCUAAUUUUAUAUAUACAUAAUAUUUUUAUAUAAAUGCAAUUGCCUUGGAUUAUUGCAAGUGCGGUUGGAGGUUCGCAAGCUUAAGCCCUCCAUAUCCUGUUGUAUGAUAAUACAAAAUAUAUAUAUAUUGUUAUAAACUAAAGAGAUUAUAGAGAGAAUUGGAAUGGAGAGAGGGAGUAGAAACUGAAUUGUUGUGGGCUUAAGCUUGCGAACCUCCAAAAUGCAAAGGAAAUAGUUAAAGAUAUGUAGUAAAAGACAAAGAGGUGAUGUAUAUAUCCUAUUAAACAGGGGUGGUACGCUUUUGUCCAGGAGGAAAAAAAUUGGAGAGAGGAGGGUAGCGUAAAAACAAAAGUGAUUUAGAGGUAGAAAACANNNNNNNNNNNNNNNNNNNNNNNNNNNNNNNNNNNNNNNNNNNNNNNNNNNNNNNNNNNNNNNNNNNNNNNNNNNNNNNNNNNNNNNNNNNNNNNNNNNNACCCCCUUUAAAAAACCUCCCCCCUUUUUUUGUUCCGAGAAACCCCAAUCAGGCGUUUUUUUUUCAAGAAAAAGGGGGGAGAUACUUUCAAGGCCCCCUUUCACAUUUCAGGUCCCGCCCUUUUUAUCACUUUUUUCAAAACCCUUAAAAAGGGUUUUUGGGGGGGGGGGCAGGAGGCCCCCGGGGUAAAAAAAAAAAAAAAAAAAAAAAAAAAGGGGGAGCCGGCGUUGCCGCUCCGUAGGAGCUGAAAAUUUUAAGACUUUUGGGGGAGGAAUGGGCCCAAAAGGGGGCGGGGAAGCUUUAAAAUUUUUGCCUUGUGUCUUUGCCGGGGAGGUCCCAAAGGACUUUGUUUGCCGUCUCCUUGUUGGUAUGCCAUCAAUUGCAACAUUCCCAACAGGCCCUUUGGGUUUUGUCCUUCCCCUGACUUUGGGUUGGGGUUGGGGGGGUGCCCCCCCGCCCCCCCCUGAGCCACUCGCCGGAAUUUGGUUUAUUGCCGCCCCUGGACCUCCAUAGUUUUGUGCCUGCAGGGAACCUCCCUGGGGUUGGUAAAAAUGUUGAUUGGGAGACUGGGUAGUAGGCCCCCCCCCCCCCCCCCAUGCAGUGAUCCAGAGAACCCAUUGAUGGCUAAGAGGCCAAGUAUUUCCAUUCCAUUUUACCAACCGGUUUAGUUGCUGCAUAACAUGCAUGAUGAUGAAGUAUGAGUUUUCAAUUUGAGGUCCCGACUUUUGUUUUCUUUUUCUAUCAACUUUGGGACACCGCAAGGCCAAGCAUCAAGAUCAUAUAGAUGUAAUUGUACUGCACCAGCUAUAAAGCUACAGAGAACCCAUUGAACAGGGCUUGAACAGUAGUAGCCCCUCGACGAUGUCGUUGUUGGAGCGGUCAAAAUCUCCUUUGCCCAAAGACAAGGCCAUGGGAACGAAGCCAGAGUCGGCGGACGUUGAUCUGGACAUCAUGAGCUGGUGCUUGAUAUGGAUAAUCAGGUUGUUCUUACUGAGUAGGGAAGAUGAGGUCACUGCCAUUGUUGAGUCCAUUUUCAAGAACUGUCACUUUCUUUAUUCUCAAUGCUCAACAAAAGGAAUAUCACACGGAAAUGAUGAAAGCAAAAGAAGAUCCAACAGCAAACCCACCGACAGAAAGAAAAAAUAAAAAAUUAAAAAAUUAAAAAAAAAUUAAAAAAAAUAAAAAUAAAAAAGAGUCACUCACGUGGACCCUUGGUAUAUUUAUCUAUAUGUAUAAUACACUAUAUUUAUCUGCUUUUUUAUUACUAACCAUUAACAAAAUGGACCCUUGGUAAUACUAAACAUAUUAUCAGUGGGAGACCGUUACUAAUACUAACAUUUUUCUUAUUUUAUUCGGUGGUGGUUUUAACCUCACAUUUAUUUUAUUUACUGUAUGGUGUAGGUUUAUUACCCAUACAACCAGUAUUUAUUUAAAAGGGUGGUGCGGGUUUAUCAUCCACGCCUUUACUUUUAUUUAAAUGUAUGGAGCAGAAUUAGUGCCCAUACAAGCACAAUUUACUUUACCGCACAUUUAAUUUUAUUUAAGGUAUGGUGCGGGAUUAACGUCCAUACAGCAAACAAUUUAAUUUACCGCACAUUUACAUUUAUUUAAAAGGGUGGUGCGGGUUUAUCGUCCACGCCUUUACUUUUAUUUAAAUGUAUGGAGCAGAAUUAAUGCCCAUACAAGCACCUUAACUUUAUGAAUUUAAUUUACCGCACAUUUACAUUUAUUUAAAGUGUGGUGCGGGUUUAUCGUCCAUACCAGUAAUUUAUUUACCAGCAAGUUAUUUUAUGGAUUAAAUGUGCUGUAUGAUGAGUUUUUUUUUUUUUACAGUAUACAGAUCAGGACCAGAAGUUCCUUGAUCCUCAUCAUACAAUUACAUCAGGACUUGAAGAUCCUUGAUGAUGAUGUUAAUAUGAGAGCUGGCAGUCUCUCCGGUACUAUAUUUGUAAACAUGUGAUCGGACUUGAGGGUCCUUGAUCCCUGACAUGUAAAUAAGGACCUGGGGUUCCUUAAUGAUGUAACAAGUACCGUAUUGGUUCAUAAUACCGUACACAUAGAUGAUAACUGUACUGGCAAAUGUACUGGAACCUGCAGUUCCUUAAACUCAUGGAUGAGCAAUUAAAUGAGAUGCCAGAAGUUCCUCAAAAUAUGGACAAUUAUGUAAGGACUUGAAGUCCAGAAAUAUGUACAGAAAAUUGUAAAAAUGUCCAUACCAUGAGAAUACGUGAUUUUGGCCCGAAGUUCAAAAUCUAAGGGAAUUGAAUGUCCAUACCAUGAGAAUAUGUGAUUUUGGCCUGAAGUUCAAAAUCUAACAGCGUUGAGAACCUGAAGUUCCAACAAUUAAAUGGACAACCCUUGAUGUAUUAUUGCAAAUUGUGGUACGCCACAUAUCUCUUUGGCAUAAGAGAAUGAUGAAUUGAGGCUCCCCACAUAUUUUGUUAUAUCUGGGCCGGAAGCUCUUGAACCCAAAUAUAUGAGAUAUUAGCGUGGCUUUUACUCAAUUCAUAUUUCAUGUCCAUUUGAAAAGGGCAAAUAAAUUCUGAUUUUGUGUUUAGCCCAGGCCAAAAGUUCCGGGCUCCCAUACGUUGAAAUAUGAAAUUUGGGAGAGUCGAUGUGGUUAUUUGAACCUAUAAGGCACAAGGUUCCAAACCGUCAUUUUGAAAAGACGUAAAAACCACAUGUGCAAAUUUUAAGAAUGUGCGCAAUUAUUAUAACAGGAAAGGAGCAAAUUGAAACGCAGUUGCUCCAAUCAAGUUUUGUAAAGGCCAUAUCUAUAGGAGGAAAUAUGGCUACAGUUUCCAGGAUCCCAAUAUUAUCUCAAAUCCCCAUAUUAUCUUUUUCUUUCCCAGAGUCCAAAACUUCACGUGGCCUCUGAUAAUGCCUGUCGGCACUUUCGGCGUUUUCAAGUAUUAUUUUCAUCAAAAGCCGAUUUCACGGAGCUACUUUUUCAAAAGUACCCCGAGAAUCUCGCAAUUUUCCUAUGGUUAAUUUGAAAUUCACCGGUUCUACCUAUUCAUUGUAUUUGUGUAUAAAUGUGUUACUAACGAAAUUUUCUUUGCAGAAGACAUCCAGUUUUCUCCAUACCUAGUGAUGCGAUAUCUACUUGUUUUUCUUAUCAGUGAGCACUUAAUAUGCCCGAGAAGCAAGACUAUCUCUGAUCAUCCAUUCAGGAAGCGAGACUAUCCCUGAUCACGUUUCCGCUACAUCAGGAAACUGUGAAGGCGAUCUUAUGCUCUAAUCUCCGGAAGUCCUUCUAGACUAGGAGAUAUGAGAGCCUAUUGUCUGCUCCCACCAGCUUCCUUCCCUGAUUGCUUACCUUCUUUUUUUUUUGCAUUUUUUCUCUUUCUGUAAUUCUCUGAGAAUUAUUUGUUUUUGACAGAGAAAAGAGUUGUGAUUUUACUAUUGCAGGAUAUAACUAGAUCAUCAAGCGCUACAUUUACUGGGCCGAUACAAGCUUGAAUGAUACUUGAGAAAAGUUUCUCCCACCUAAGGAUGUAAGCAAUACUUGUGUUAUUUUUUGCUUAUAUACUUAUUUGAUAUUUUAUCUUGAAAGGUAACCAAAUGGGAAGAUAAGUCCGUUCCAAAAGAAUGGCUUGUAUGUAUCCAUGAAUUAUUAAUGCAAAUUUUACAGAUUGUAAGUUGGAUACAUUGAUAAUACACUGCACAGAUUAAAGUCCCAUAAGAACAGAAUAUGGGUAUAGCAGUGAUCAAUAUGAUGCACGCCUGUUGCGUAGCAAAUGAUGUGGAUUGAAGUCCCGAAAGGACAAUCCUUUGACAUGUCAAUAUUGAUAUUAUGCACGCCUAAUGCGUAGCAAAUUAUAUGGGUUAAAGUCCCAUAAUAUGGGUUAAAGUCCCAGAAAUUAAUUGACAUGUAUGUAUUAAUCUGUGGCAUGCCUGCAGCAUGACAGAUAUAUGUAUCCAUGAAUUAUUAAUGCAAAUUUUACAAAUUGUAAGUUGGAUACAUUGAUAAUACACUGCACAGAUUAAAGUCCCAUAAGAACAGAAUAUGGGUAUAGCAGUGAUCAAUAUGAUGCACGCCUGUUGCGUAGCAAAUGAUGUGGAUUGAAGUCCCGAAAGAACAAUCCUUUGACAUGUCAAUAUUGAUAUUAUGCACGCCUAAUGCGUAGCAAAUUAUAUGGGUUAAAGUCCCAGAAAUUAAUUGACAUGUAUGUAUUAAUCUGUGACAUGCCUGCAACAUGACAGAUAUAUGGGUUCUAAAUGUUCCAACUCUCUAAAUAGAGAUUAUCCACGCCCUACUGUAAAAUAACGCUCCAUUGGAGGUUAUAAUCCACAUUCUCACAUAAUAAAAGCCCCAUGAAGUGGCUUGGGUACCCAAAAGCAAAGAAAUGCUUAUAAUUGAUGCAUGCGCAUGCACAUGAGAAUGGUGAGAUCAUGAAUUGAUGAAUGACAAUUUUUAGUUUUGGAGUAGCUACUCAAAUCAUCAAUGGGCUGUGUUGAUUGGAACUACGUUCAAUUAUUAAAUGUCGACAAUAUCAUUGGCCAAAAUGGAACGAGGUAAUUCCAUUAUAAAUGAGAAUGAACGUGAAAGAACAAACCCACAAUACGAACCCCAAAAUUUGUUAAUACUGAAAGUUAUACUUGGGUGUUCGGAAUAAAAGGGAAUAUACUUACUUUGUAUGACACACUGUUUCUAGCAGAAACAAGGAAUGUUGGGUUUUCUCCAUAUUUACAGAUUCAAUUGUGCUCCCCUUAUUACACAAUUACGGAGACCAAUAUAUUAUCUUUAAGGGUUAUUAAAUGCACGGAGCAUAUCGCCAGAAGCGAUUCCCUAAAGAUGUAUAAAUAGCUGGGUUAAAGCUAUAUAAUGUGUCAUAAAGUUUAAUCCCUUUUAGACAAAAUCCGCUGAGAGGAUUGAUAUUGCAUAAAGCAAGUCCCUAAAGGACAUGUGCUUGAAGCACAAAAUUUGUACUCAAUAUUAAUAUGCAUAAAUUACCUCAGUGAGUACAUUGAUUAUAAUGUGAUUGCAACACAUUAAAGCUUCUGCAGAAUUCACGAAAUAUUUGUCUCGACUUAAGGAUCGAGCAUUAUACCAACGAGAUUCUUGCUUAUACUAAGAGAGUCUUAUCCGUUGGUCCUUAAAUGUUUUUCCGGAAGUAUACUAGACCAGAUAGAGCUCAGCUCCACACUGUACUCUUUUUCCUUCAUCCAGGUUUUUAUCCCAUUGGAUUUUUCCUGGUAAGGUUUUAACGAGGCAGUGUCGCUCAAGGGUUUAGGGUAUACUAUGAAAAUUUUUAUGGUCGCUUACUGGACAAAAGCUAGUCCUAAAUUUUUCAGGGGGAGAUAUUCACAAAGGAGAGCGUGGUUUUAAUAAAGACCUCCAUACACUGUACUCUUUUUCCUUCAUCCAAGUUUUUAUCCCAUUGGGUUUUUCAUGGUAAGGUUUUAACGAGGCAGUGUCACUCAAGAUUGACUCACAGAAGCAGUGUCAACUACGAUAUUCAGAAAGGUGAUCAACAGUAUGACUUAAAGAUAUUUUGCCGAGCAUCAGGGGGAGCGUACUAUCAAUAAAGAUCUUCAAACACUGUACUCUUUUUCCUUCGUCCAGGUUUUUAUCCCACUGGGUUUUUCCUGGCAAGGUUUUAACGAGGCAGUGUCGCACGCGCGUCAAUAUACACAGAAUUUUAUGUUACACAUGAUUAUGUACUCUUUUUUCCUUUGACCAGUUUUUGUCCCACUGAGUUUUUACUGGCAAGGUUUUUAACGAGACAUAUUCCAUAUCAUUUGUGGUCUCCAAGGGGGAGUGUUGUAAAUAUAUAAGGUGGAGCCCACAUCCAAUUGGGAGAGGCUUUGCCUAUAAAAGGGUUCACACCCUUCAUUGUAAACACACACUUGAAUGAGAAACAUUCUCUUCAGAUUUCUAUGCUUGAUCCAUCUCAAUCCCCUCUACAAUUUCCUUUUGAUUUAUAACAUAUAUAUAUGUAGCGGCGGACCUAGAAAUUUUUCAAAGAAGGGACAAUAUUUAAAAGUCUAAAAUGAUUUUUAAAAAGGCUAAAAACACUAUAUUAAUCACAUUAACCAAUUCACCAUGUUAAUUAUAUACAAAUAAACACAACAUUGAAAUAUUAAUCAUUUAAUCAAACCACAACAAUCUUUAUUAAUUAAUUACAAACUAAAAAUAUAUACAAAAAAAUAAAUUCAAAAAAAUCAAUACAAAAUAACCAAAACAAAAACUCUAAUCAAUUAACCAAAACCCAAUAAUCCAUCCUAAUUAAUUAAAGCAUAAAGAGAAAUAACUUUGAAAUUUGAGAGAGAAAUUAAUUUUCCAAACAAAUUGUGGAGGGUUGGUCCAUUGGUGGAUGGCUUAUCUCUUCUGGUUUUAGAGCUGCCAUGGCUUAUGCCCACUUCACAACCCUUCUUUUGCCUCUAAAACAAAUGGGUUUCCAUCAAAUGAAUAAAAGAAUACAGAGAUGGAGAGAGAUCCUUUCAGGGUGUCGUUGCUGAAUGAAUGUAAUGGAAUUUACUUAUACCAAUUUGAGAGAGGGAGAGAUAGUCAAUGAUAAUGAAAAAAGCACAAAGAGAAAAGCUAAUGGAUGAUGAAGGCAAAAGAGGAUUGAGAAAAAAGGGAUGUGGUUGGGGAGUUGGCCGGUGUGGGUAGUGGUGGCCCUUUCUUUUUAUUUCUUUUUAUUUUUUUUUAUUAUUUUGGUUUCACUUGGACCAAAACUAUGCGUUUUGGACAUAUCACUUUCAAAAAAAAAGAACCCAAACAGCCUUGCGCGCUGCAGCCUACGCAAAGAGCUGCUGCCUGGAGCUUCUUUGGAGCAAAUAAUCGAACAGUUGGUGGGCAAUAGAAGAGGGGCAUUUCCAGCUUCUCAAAGUGAUUUUCCGGCGAAAGGAGGUGCAAGUGCACCUCCUUGCAUCUCUGUAGAUCUGCCAGUGUAUAUAUAUAUAUAUAUGUGUGUAAGUAUAUAUAAACAAAUGAACCUGCAUGUGCGGCUAGGUACUCAAGCUGAAGCAUUCCUCAUCCUAUUAUAUAUAUAUAUUUGAAAUUUAAUAUAUAUUAUAUGGGUGACAAUAUAAGAAAAAUCGGAGGCUCAAGUUCAAGACACCAACCCAAGUUCAGGAUUUUUCGAGGAUUACAUGCACGUGACGGAGGCUUUGCAAGGGAAGAAAUCAAGGAGGUUGAUAAUAAUUUCAAAUGUUCCAAAGUAAUAAGAAAUAAUCAAGCAUGUCAAACUAUCUCCUUCAAUGCAAUCCCACGAAUUUAGGGGGGCCUCAGAAGGAAGGAAAUUUUAAAAGAGUUGACCUUUGGCCAUUCAAUGGCCAGCCCAUUGGCUGACGAAUGCCCUAUAUAAACCUUGCUCAACAAAGGCAGAAGACACAACAUCAGACAAACAAACUUAUCUUUUAUCUCGCACUUUUCUUUUCCUAGACUUAGAAUUUUACUUUUCAAGCACCUAGUGUAGUGAGUUCUUCCUUUUUUUAGUGUAAGUAUAUAUUUUUCUUGUCAUUUAAAUUCUUGUUUGAUUUAUAUUUCUUGUCAUUUAAAUUCAAGUUUAUUUCCAUUCCUUUAUAUUUCAUUGUUAUCGCACUUCAAUUAAGUUUAAUUUCAAGUUUGUUUAUUUUAUCGUUCUUAGCGUUCUUAUCGCUUUUAUUUCGUUCUUGCUUUAUUUAUCGCUUUGAUUUAUUUUAUCGCACUUCAAUUCUUGUCUUUACCUUUAUACACAUAUUUAGUUUAAUUGCAUUAUUUUUACAUAAAACUCUAAAAAUCACAAAAACAUUCGUAUGAAACCUAACCAUCCUCGAGCUAGAGGAAGUGAAAGAAUCUAGGCCAAGAGGAGGUUACUUGCUUGGCCGAUCAAUCGUUUGGUCAGAAGUUAGAAGCGCAACACAUCCAUCUAUUCUUAUUCCAUCCAAGCCCAAAUUCGGAGUUUGGUGGUGGCACACCCUGCACUCCAAAAAAGAAGGAUCAAAAGUUCAUUCCGUUAGCCAUCCCGGCCAAAAAAAGGGAACAGAGACACUUUUGAAUCUUUGAAGUGCCUUAAAAAGUAUUAUGAAUAGCACUAUUGAAUGUUUGGAAGAUUGUUUGGUGCUAAGAAUUUCGUGGGAGGUUGACCCAUGGAUAUGGUUGGUACAAAACACAUUAAUGAAAAAUAGGGAUAAGCACAAAUUGUGGGAGGUGAAGAUAUUAUCUUCCUUAAGAGAUUGAAAGGAAUCAAUAUCAUACUUUAUCUAGUUUCCUUUUUCUUUGCUUGAGAGCUGCAUAUGAUAGAUCUUUCAAAUAAACUUAUUUGAGGGGUAUUUUUGUAGAGCUCACUUUGUAUUGUAUUUGAACAAUUCAAACUAUCUAUUUAAUAGAUUAGAGUGCUACUAAACGAACCUUAAUAUUAAUUGAAUACACCAUACUACUAAACUAUUUAUUAAAUUACUAAUUUACCCUAAUAUAAACUAAAAAUAAUAUAUAUUGAAUUGUGAAACAAAUGUGAUUUUAAUAAGUGCACCUUACUAACGCAGAUCCUCUGGUUGUUUUUUUCUCAAUUUGUUUGACUUUUCUUUUAAGCAUCCCACAUCAUUUAAAAAAAAUAUCUAAAACAUGACACCCCAUAUUUUUGCCUACAAUCUUCUUCUCCAUCUUAGCAUUUGGACAACCGAACUCUUUUCUCUCUCAAAACCAAGCUCAGUAGAACCUCUUCUCCUUUCAAUCAGUCUUCUUCGCCAAACAUAUAAUUUUUUCAUUUUCCUCAUCUUUCAAUUCAGGAAAUUUCCUAUAAUAUUUGAAGCCCCUUGUGAAACUUGUUUUCUCCUAUUUACCCCCACAAAAGUAGCCACACGAAUCAUAUUGGGACUUAAUUAUAUCAGCAAGCAAGGCAAUCAAAGUUGUUUUUUGGUUUCAUAUAUUGGAUUCAAAAAACAAAAAAUUAUUUUUAAAAAAUCAGAAAGAGAAAAAUUAAAAAACAGACCGCAUGAAAUACUGUGUUUCUUGGGAAAAAAAAUUAAAAACCCCCGAAGCUGCAAAAUUGAGUGUUUUAAUAAGAAUGAUUCCCUUACUGAGUAUUACUUAUUAUUUGAUUUAGGAUCAAUAUCAAAGAAUUCUAUUGAACGUUUUUGUGCUAUUAGUUAUAUUUAGGAUAUAUAAAAAAGAACAAUAUUGUCCAGAUUGUACAGUAAAGACUUUGAGAAUCAAAGUAUGGGGAAAGGGAUCGUGGGGAGAUGAAUGUUGUUGGUCUUUUUUUGAAGAGGUAGUGUAUUAGGGUGUAUCAAGAGUAUUUUUGGUAGUUAAAUAGGGUGUACUUUGUUAAUUUUACAUUUUAAUUAGGGCAUACUCAGUAAAUUUUAGAGUUCAUUUAGCAACACUCAUAGAUUAUCUCUUUAAAAAAAUCACACAAAUUAACGGGUAUUUUUGUAGAGCUCAAUUUGUAUUGUAUUUCAACAAUUUGAAUCGUCUAUGUCAUUGAUUAUAUCGCUUUAAAAAACCACCCGAAUUGAAUAUUUUUAACCAUUUGAUUGAAUAGUAGUCAUUUAUUAAGUGUGUGUCUAUUUGUCUCAUCACAUUUAUAUAUGUUUGAAUGGUUUACAAUUUGUUCAAAUAAAUGAAAUGCAAAGUGGAUGAACCCUAGAAAGUGUCGUAUUUGAAAAAUAUAUAAAUAAAAUGAUAACCUUACACAUAUUUGUUUAUUUUAUAUAAAUAUCACCACAAACAUAGAAUAAACAGUUGCAAAACAACAGAAAACUUCUAAUACUCAAAAAACAUCCUUUAGCUUACAUGAUAGAAACAGAAACUGCCUUUUUCCACAACACUUCUAUUCAACUGAGCAUCUUAUAUCUUCUUCAGUUGCAUUAUUUGCAAAAUUUGUUCCUCUGUUUGCAAAUAUGAAGCAUUUUUCAAACAUCUAGCAUAUUGCUGAAACAUCUAUCACUAGAUCACAUCUUACAAAAGUUAUUCUUCUGUAUUUGUUGUCGCUACUUCUCUUCUAAUUAAUAGUCUAAUCAAUCUAAUAGGGUUUGCUGUUGCUAUUCCAAAAGAGUUCAAGCCAGACAACCUGCGUUAAAAUUUACUUUGACCAUUGACGCGUUGAGUUAGAAACUUUCCUUUUCCUUGGUUCAAAUUUAGGGAAGGAAGAUAAAAAGGAAAGCUCAACAAUUGCACCUAUAAGUUCCUCUUAACUUUUGACUAUUUUGGGAUUUUUUUAAAUUGUUAUAGCAACAAAAUAAUAAUAAUUUAUUUUGAUAAUUUUAAUUUUUUGAAGGGAAAAAUUCUUUUGAUAAUAAAACCUACGUGUCUUUUAUAUCACAUCACCAUCUUUUAAGUUAAACUUUAUGUGUCGUAUUGAUCACAUUUGCUAACUCAUCGAUAAAUAUAAUUCUCUCACUUUAUUAAGAAAUAUGACCCACGAAUGAUGAUGGGUAAUGUGAAACUAUAAUAUGCGCACACACACACACACACCAUUUCUAUAAGGAUGAGAAAUUGCCAAGUCAGUCUAGUGCAUCUGAUACCAGUGCUGAUCUUUUUGCUUUCUACUUCAACUCUAUAUUUCUUCUUUGUUAUUUUCUUACAUGAAUAAAAUUCUUUGAUAUUGCAAGGAAAGUUGUUUUCUUCUCCUUUUGUCUUCUAUUUUUUUUAAUAAUAAUAAAUUUCCUUGAAAAGUGAUUACAUAACAAACAAGAGAGAGUAUGCAAGAGAGGAGGGGCUAGCCUUAAAUAUAUUUUAUAUAACAUAAGAAGUGAUUUGUACAUAUAAUUACAAGCGGACACAUAGACAUUGAGGUGCAGAAAAUAAGCUAGCUUAGACUGUAGGCUAGCUAUCCAAACCACUUCUACAUCUGCUAUACAUACAUAUACUAUAUUACAGAGAGCUUCAUUAGUUAACUAAUUACUUAUACCAAACUAAGUUGGUAAUAAUUAGCGGCGAACCUUGGGGUACUCUCUUAUCUCUAUCCCCCCAAAUAGCAGGGCUGCGUCCUUGCUAUUAAGAGCAGCCUGAUCAUUCCUAAGAGGAGCUGGUUGUCUCCCGGAACGAGCUUGUUGGUCUUGAGAAAAUGGAGAGCUCUUGCCGGGCUGGCCACAGAACUUGUCUAGCAUGGCAAAAGCCUCCCUUCCAAGCCUUGCUAGCUCUUCCUGAGUUGCCAUAAUAAUAUUGCUAAAAUUUAGUACAAGCACACAAAACACAGAUGCACGAAGCAGGUCAGGUAAUUUGGUUUGCCUUUGUUUUCUUGGUAACAACGGUUUGCGGCCACGCCCCAUUAUGUAGGAGUUAAAAAGGCGACUAUGGAAGAUUUUUUGUUGCUAAGAAUUUCGUGCAGGUUGACAGACGGAUAUGGUUGGUACAAAAAACAUUAAUGAAAAAUAGGAAUAAGCACAAAUUGUGGGAGGUGAAGAUAUUAUCUUCCUGAAGAGAUUGGAAGGAAUCAAUAUCAUACUUUAUCUGGGUUUACUUUCUUUCCUUGAGAGCUG
rnacentral:lncRNA from 1 species